AAUGAUUCUUUUCAUAUACAUUGUAUGUAUAUAAAAAAUGUAUUCAGGUUUCUGAAAUGUCAGAGGUUUAUUUUUUACCAAAUGGUUAGUGUUUUCUUUCAGGGACUGACACAUGCAUGUAUGAAAUCAAAGAGUAUGAUAUAGAGUUACAAUUUUGAAUAAAAUUUUGAAAAACAAAACUAGUGAUUCAAUCAUCAAAAGUUUAUAAGAACUUUGAGUUUAAAAUUUAUUGCAAUUUCUUAUUCUUGGAUACCAUUUGAUAAACAAAC
rnacentral:lncRNA from 1 species